rnacentral:rRNA from 1 species
AUUGAACGCUGGCGGCAUGCUUUACACAUGCAAGUCGAACGGCAGCGCGGGGCAACCUGGCGGCGAGUGGCGAACGGGUGAGUAAUACAUCGGAACGUGCCCAGAUGUGGGGGAUAACGUAGCGAAAGUUACGCUAAUACCGCAUACGUUCUACGGAAGAAAGUGGGGGACCUUCUGGCCUCAUGCUUUUGGAGCGGCCGAUGUCUGAUUAGCUAGUUGGUGAGGUAAGGGCUCACCAAGGCGACGAUCAGUAGCUGGUCUGAGAGGACGACCAGCCACACUGGGACUGAGACACGGCCCAGACUCCUACGGGAGGCAGCAGUGGGGAAUUUUGGACAAUGGGCGCAAGCCUGAUCCAGCAAUGCCGCGUGAGUGAAGAAGGCCUUCGGGUUGUAAAGCUCUUUUGUCAGGGAAGAAACGGCUGAGGUUAAUACCUUCGGCUAAUGACGGUACCUGAAGAAUAAGCACCGGCUAACUACGUGCCAGCCGCCGCGGUAA